rnacentral:lncRNA from 1 species
ACAAAAAUCAUAAGGCUUGCCUACCCAAAUAUUGUUGGCCUAAGCAUGCUACUAGCGUUAAACAAAACUAGUAGUAACAAAAUAGAAUUAGAACAUGUCAUCUACUAUCCAAUUCUGUUAAACUUAAUUCUCUUAAUUCUGUUUAAACUCCCGUGACCCACUCCUACUUAUUUCAAUUAAUUCAAUGACCCAUUAUUGUUUAAUUCGAAUUAGGCACCACCAUACAUCCAACCAGACAAAAGUCCCUAAAUUGUUACAAUUAAAUAUUCAACAAAAAUUCAACAUGGAAUAAUUAACACUAAUCAUAGGCAAAUCAGAAAAGAGAAGAACAGAAGUUAAAAGGGACCUUCAUAGCUUUGAAUUGCAAAACAUCAUCAACCUUGACCGGAACCUCAAACCGGAACUUGUUUGGUGCAAUGAACCAAGGUCGACAGCUUCAAAACUAUUGUCAACUCUGCUUUGAAUUCAAAUUUCUCGAAAAGAACUGGACAAGGGAAUUAAGGGAGAUCGAAGUGAGCUUAAAGGACAAAAUUUGUUGUUAGAACCUAAAUCGUUGCCGUUGGAAUUUCAUACGACUGUUCUUUUUCUUUUUGCACAUUUUCUUUUGAAAUUCUAUUCCAAUUAUUAGCCAAAGAUGAAGCCAAAAUCAAAUUCCCUUUUCCCCUAAAUUCUAUUCGUGGGCCUCUCUCUGUUUCGUGUAUGCGUGUGUGUGUUUUUUGGCUGUUCGGGAUCUAAAAAAAGGUGGUGUGGCUAACUUGUUAAGGAUCUGAAGCUUGGUGAAGGGAGGGGUGAACUCUACGGCUUUAUUGAGCUUUUUCGGCGAGUUUGUAUCUGGUGAGAGGCGGCGGCAUUCUGGCAUGGCGCUAGAGAUGAGAGAUGAGAGGAAAAAUUGAAUAAGAAAGGAACUAGUAGGGUCGUUGGGGGUUGGGUGUUGGACACGAUUGUGCGAUGGUCUCAUAGGUCUAGGAUUCUGGUGGGUAAACGUGGCAGCAACUGGUUUUGUUGUGAAGAAGAAGAGCCGCGAUAGUGUUGGCUGGCAGGUCGGUGCUGCUGGUUGUGGACGACAACGGCGCUGGUUUAGGAGGUGGAGGCUGUGUUUGGUGGUGUGGAAGAAGGUGACGGCUGGGGGUUCUCUCUAGGGUCAGAGUUUUGGGUUGUAAUUAGGUUCAUAUAUUAUCUUGAAAUAAAAUACGAGCCGUUUGAUUUAAU